rnacentral:rRNA from 1 species
CCUACGGGUGGCAGCAGUGAGGAAUAUUGGUCAAUGGACGAGAGUCUGAACCAGCCAAGUAGCGUGAAGGAUGACUGCCCUAUGGGUUGUAAACUUCUUUUAUAUGGGAAUAAAAUGUUCCACGUGUGGACUUUUGUAUGUACCAUAUGAAUAAGGAUCGGCUAACUCCGUGCCAGCAGCCGCGGUAAUACGGAGGAUCCGAGCGUUAUCCGGAUUUAUUGGGUUUAAAGGGAGCGUAGGUGGAUUGUUAAGUCAGUUGUGAAAGUUUGCGGCUCAACCGUAAAAUUGCAGUUGAAACUGGCAGUCUAGAGUACAGUAGAGGUGGGCGGAAUUCGUGGUGUAGCGGUGAAAUGCUUAGAUAUGACGAAGAACUCCGAUUGCGAAGGCAGCUCCCUGGACUGCAACUGACACUGAGGCUCGAAAGUGUGGGUAUCAAACAGGAUUAGAUACCCUUGUAGUC